rnacentral:rRNA from 1 species
GACGAACGCUGGCGGCGUGCUUAACACAUGCAAGUCGAACGGAAAGGCCCUGCUUUUGUGGGGUGCUCGAGUGGCGAACGGGUGAGUAACACGUGAGUAACCUGCCCUUGACUUUGGGAUAACUUCAGGAAACUGGGGCUAAUACCGGAUAGGAGCUCCUGCUGCAUGGUGGGGGUUGGAAAGUUUCGGCGGUUGGGGAUGGACUCGCGGCUUAUCAGCUUGUUGGUGGGGUAGUGGCUUACCAAGGCUUUGACGGGUAGCCGGCCUGAGAGGGUGACCGGCCCCAUUGGGACUGGGUUACGGCCCAGACUCCUACGGGAGGCAGCAGUGGGGAAUAUUGCACAAUGGGCGGAAGCCUGAUGCAGCAACGCCGCGUGCGGGAUGACGGCCUUCGGGUUGUAAACCGCUUUCGCCUGUGACGAAGCGUGAGUGACGGUAAUGGGUAAAGAAGCACCGGCUAACUACGU